GAUCAAACCUCCAGAUGGCACCAGAGAACUGAGAAAAACAAUUCCAUUUCCAAGGCGCCUUUGUGUUGCUGACGAGAGACCAGCAGGCUGAGGGGAAACGCCCUGUUUGUUACAAAGUUACAUCUGCGAGCUCCUUCAAGAAAGGGAGUGACCCUGGAGAGUGAGAGGGUGGUUCUCUUGGCUGUCUCUGGAACACAUUUGGUUAUGUUGAAGCCAGCAGGAACUCCCUCUCUGUGGCUCCCACGGUAUCCUCACCUUUUAGAAGAGCGUAUGGCACGUUGUAGAAGGUUCAAUAGAGAUGGAAUAAACGAAUGAAUGAUGACAAUAGGCUGAUGCAUUUCUCUGUUUUCUUCUGGUUAUGAAAUUUGAUUAAAAAAUAGGAUUUGGGAACAAAGCCAUUACCAGAGAACAUUAUAUUAACACAAAUAAGUGGAUUAUGUUUUAGGAAAAGACCGUGUACAACAGGGGAUUAGAGAUAACCUCAAAGAAUAUCUCUUCCACGGUAAUAAAACGGAACAUUUUAAAAGGAAUGAUGAAAAGGAGAACCCAAAGGCACAGGAUCCCGCUGAUAAACAAUUGCACAUA
rnacentral:lncRNA from 1 species